rnacentral:rRNA from 1 species
UGUUAUCGACAUGUGAAUUCAUAGCAUGUCAGAAGGCAGACCCGGAGAACUGAAACAUCUUAGUACCCGGAGGAAGAGAAAGAAAAAUCGAUUCCCUGAGUAGCGGCGAGCGAAACGGGAAUAGCCCAAACCAACAAGCUUGCUUGUUGGGGUUGUAGGACACUCUAUACGGAGUUACAAAAGAACAUGUUAGACGAAUCAUCUGGAAAGAUGAAUCAAAGAAGGUAAUAAUCCUGUAGUCGA